rnacentral:rRNA from 1 species
CUUAAGCAUAUCAAUAAGCGGAGGAAAAGAAACCAACAGGGAUUGCCUCAGUAACGGCGAGUGAAGCGGCAACAGCUCAAAUUUGAAAGCUGGCUCCUUCGGGGCCCGCGUUGUAAUUUGCAGAGGAUGCUUCGGGUGCGGUGCCGGUCUAAGUUCUUUGGAACAAGACGUCAUAGAGGGUGAGAAUCCCGUAUGUGACUGGUUGCCUGCGCCCGUGUGAAGCUCCUUCGACGAGUCGAGUUGUUUGGGAAUGCAGCUCUAAAUGGGUGGUGUACUUCAUCUAAAGCUAAAUAUUGGCCAGAGACCGAUAGCGCACAAGUAGAGUGAUCGAAAGAUGAAAAGCACUUUGGAAAGAGAGUUAAACAGUACGUGAAAUUGUUGAAAGGGAAGCGCUUGCAAUCAGACUUGCGCGGCGCCGAUCAGCCUGGGUUCUCCCUGGUGCACUCGGUGCCGCUCAGGCCAGCAUCAGUUUCGGCGGUUGGAUAAAGGCCUAGGGAACGUGGGUCGCCUCGGCGAUCGUUAUAGCCCUAGGUGCAAUGCAGCCUGCUGGGACUGAGGACCGCGCUUCGGCUAGGAUGCUGGCGUAAUGGUUGUAAGCGACCCGUCUUGAAACACGGACCAAGGAGUCUAACAUCUAUGCGAGUAUUUGGGUAUCAAACCCAUAUGCGUAAUGAAAGUGAACGGAGGUGAGAACCCUUAAGGGUGCAUCAUCGACCGAUCCUGAUGUCUUCGGAUGGAUUUGAGUAAGAGCAUAGCUGUUGGGACCCGAAAGAUGGUGAACUAUGCCUGAAUAGGGUGAAGCCAGAGGAAACUCUGGUGGAGGCUCGCAGCGGUUCUGACGUGCAAAUCGAUCGUCAAAUUUGGGUAUAGGGGCGAAAGACUAAUCGAACCAUCUAGUAGCUGGUUCACGCCGAAGU